rnacentral:misc_RNA from 1 species
GGAGAGUGGAAUUCCAUGUGUAGCGGUGAAAUGCGUAGAUAUAUGGAGGAACACCGGUGGCGAAAGCGGCUCUCUGGUCUGUAACUGACGCUGAGGCUCGAAAGCGUGGGGAGCGAACAGGAUUAGAUACCCUGGUAGUCCACGCCGUAAACGAUGAGUGCUAGGUGUUGGGUCCUUUCCGGGACUCAGUGCCGCAGCUAACGCAUUAAGCACUCCGCCUGGGGAGUACGACCGCAAGGUUGAAACUCAAAGGAAUUGACGGGGGCCCGCACAAGCGGUGGAGCAUGUGGUUUAAUUCGAAGCAACGCGAAGAACCUUACCAGGUCUUGACAUCCCGAUGACCGCCCUAGAGAUAGGGUUUCUCUUCGGAGCAUCGGUGACAGGUGGUGCAUGGUUGUCGUCAGCUCGUGUCGUGAGAUGUUGGGUUAAGUCCCGCAACGAGCGCAACCCCUAUUGUUAGUUGCCAUCAUUCAGUUGGGCACUCUAGCGAGACUGCCGGUAAUAAACCGGAGGAAGGUGGGGAUGACGUCAAAUCAUCAUGCCCCUUAUGACCUGGGCUACACACGUGCUACAAUGGCUGGUACAACGAGUCGCAAGUCGGUGACGGCAAGCUAAUCUCUUAAAGCCAGUCUCAGUUCGGAUUGUAGGCUGCAACUCGCCUACAUGAAGUCGGAAUCGCUAGUAAUCGCGGAUCAGCACGCCGCGGUGAAUACGUUCCCGGGCCUUGUACACACCGCCCGUCACACCACGAGAGUUUGUAACACCCGAAGUCGGUGAGGUAACCUUUUAGGAGCCAGCCGCCUAAGGUGGGAUAGAUGAUUGGGGUGAAGUCGUAACAAGGUAGCCGUAUCGGAAGGUGCGGCUGGAUCACCUCCUUUCUAAGGAAAUGGAAACCUGUACGUCAGUCUUCUUUAAUUUUGAGAGGUCUUGUGGGGCCUUAGCUCAGCUGGGAGAGCGCCUGCUUUGCACGCAGGAGGUCAGCGGUUCGAUCCCGCUAGGCUCCAUUAACAACGGAAGUUGUUAAGAUUUUGUCCAUUGAAAAUUGAAUAUCUAUCAAACAUUCCUAAACGUAUGUAAAAGUACGUAUAGAAAUAGUAACAAGAAAAUAAACCGAAAACGCUGUGAAUAUUUAAUGAGUUUUCUAAUUUUUGAAAAAAUUAGGUUAAAACAAGUUACGAAGACGUUAAGGAAAACGUAUGAUUUUAGGAAAUCAUCGCAGUAGUCUAAGGACUACAAGAGGAUUUGUCUAAAUCACUAGUUUUCUAGUCUGAGUACGAUUAUAAGGUUAAGUUAAUAAGGGCGCACGGUGGAUGCCUUGGCACUAGAAGCCGAUGAAGGACGUGACUAACGACGAAAUGCCUUGGGGAGCUGUAAGUAAGCAAUGAU